UAACGAUGGCCAUCAUCCUGCUUCACAUGUUCUGGGGCGUUGUUUUCUUUGAUGACUGUAAGAAGCAGUACUGGUGGGCGGUGGGAGCCAUUGUCAUCAGUCACCUCUUGGUCUCCUGUCUGACAAACGACCAUUCAACAACAUCAACUUGGCGACUCAGAUUUACCUUCCAGAACCUCGUGAGCCUCGUUCCCACCUACGUCAUCCUGUUCCUAAUGAGAGAGGGUUUUGCUUCACAAAGCACACUUUCCAGGCAAAUGUUGCUCAUUUAAAUGUUUUAAACCGUAACUGAACCCAGAUACUACUUUCAUUACAAUGCAGCAUUGCAUAUUACAUAUUAAUGAAUAAGCAUAUUACUUAUCCAUUUAUCUAGUUUGCAAAGUUUGCCUUCUUACCAGCAGGUGGCAGUAGAGAAAAAAAUAGGUGACUUUUCUUCUUUAAAAAACAGCUAAGUGGAUUUCUUGCAAAUGUGAUGCAAAUUGAAGACAUGGUCACAGAUCUAAUUUUAUGUUAUUAUAUGUCAUUUCCUGGAUUCUGGAUAUGCGCAUAUAUUUGUACAUUUCUUUUCUCCAGUGGUUUAUUUUUCUUGAGUGGACUAUGAUUUAAGGCUUCCAAUUAAUUAUUGUCAACAUUGCCCAUUUACUGUUAACCUUGGUGGGUCUGAUUUUAUGUUGUUUAUUGCAUUUGGCUUCAAACUCAGACUGUGGACAAGUCUGUCUGAUAUCUUUUGUUUGGAGAAGUAACCCGUUUCAAUGCAUGCAUGUCAACUGUUCCUGUCAGGGAUAAAAUUCCCAGUUCCUCUAUGGUAACCAACCUGACUGAGUUAAUCUGUGAUACGAGAGUUAUUAUAUGUACCACAAAAAAACAUGUACACUGUAAAACCUUCAUAUAUAUUGACACAUCACAUUCAGUUGAUUGUUUUAGAGUACUGUGCAAAAGUCUAGGUGCAGUGAUUUACUGAAGAAUGCAAUAAUAUAUGGAAAUACAGUGUAAAGCAAAAAAGAAACAAAUAAACAGAAGAA